UUGAUCAAGCAGGGAUAUGAUUAAAUACAGCCGAUACAUAUAUACACAUCUUGAAACAUCCACUCAAUUUACUCCGGUGAAGAUAUAUACUGUCACAACCAUAAACAUAGAGGCCAAGGAUGGUUAUAUUUGUUUAGUUUGUGGUAUGAGGCGAAGCUGCCUGCAAUGCACAUAAAGAAGAAGGCUGUAGCUCUUGCUGCUCUUGUUGUUUUAGUAGUUGUUGCUGCUGUUCUCCUUCCCAUGUCCAAAUAAUGUCGUUGAGUGCAGGUCUAAUCUCUUGUUUCAAUACCGUCUGAUACUCCACCGUAUCUCCACUGGACUUUUUCAUUUCCACCAAAUGAAAACAAGGAGU
rnacentral:misc_RNA from 1 species